AUUGAACGCUGGCGGCAUGCCUUACACAUGCAAGUCGAACGGUAACGGGCCUUCGGGUGCCGACGAGUGGCGAACGGGUGAGUAAUGCAUCGGAACGUACCUUUCAGUGGGGGAUAACGUAGCGAAAGUUACGCUAAUACCGCAUAUUCUGUGAGCAGGAAAGCAGGGGAUCGCAAGACCUUGCGCUGAUUGAGCGGCCGAUGUCAGAUUAGCUAGUUGGUGAGGUAAAGGCUCACCAAGGCGACGAUCUGUAGCGGGUCUGAGAGGAUGAUCCGCCACACUGGAACUGAGACACGGUCCAGACUCCUACGGGAGGCAGCAGUGGGGAAUUUUGGACAAUGGGGGCAACCCUGAUCCAGCCAUGCCGCGUGAGCGAAGAAGGCC
rnacentral:rRNA from 1 species